GACAGAGAGGCUGAGAAGCACAGAGGCAGUCUCUAACUAUAGCCCAAUGAGCUCUCAGCCCCUCACACACACACAGUCUCUCAGCGCUGGCUCAGGCUCCGCUUCAACACUGGGACACAGAGAGAGGCAGCAAGAGGCGGAGAAGGAGAGUAAGAGAGAGAGAGUGAGAAAGAGGAAGAGCGGGAGAUCGGUAGUGUGUAUGUGUGUGUGAGAGAGAGAGCACCAUGGCUUUAGACCCAGGGCUCAUUGCACUGCUUCUAUGGACUAUACCACUACAAGUACUGGGCAACGCCGGAAACAACAAUAACAAUGAAGCUGCUGAAGCAUCACCCAGGUGGGUGCUACACUUCAGUAGUGGACUAAUCUGCCUACCGACAGAGGAGGAGGAGGGACGAGGUGCCUGACGAACUCCUGAUCUCUACAUUUGUUUUGUUUGUUUUUACAUCGUCUUUGAGAUUCUCUUUGUAAUGAAUAGCGCCAUAUUAAAUAAACAUUAUUAUUAUUAUUAUGAGGUUUGUAAAUAUGUAAAAAUGAGCCGCCG
rnacentral:lncRNA from 1 species